UCCCCAAACCCAAUGUGAACGUUACCAAACUGUUGCCUCGGCGGGAUCUCUGCCCCGGGUGCGUCGCAGCCCCGGACCAAGGCGCCCGCCGGAGGACCAACCAAAACUCUUUUUGUAUACCCCCUCGCGGGUUUUUUAUAAUCUGAGCCUUCUCGGCGCCUCUCGUAGGCGUUUCGAAAAUGAAUCAAAACUUUCAACAACGGAUCUCUUGGUUCUGGCAUCGAUGAAGAACGCAGCGAAAUGCGAUAAGUAAUGUGAAUUGCAGAAUUCAGUGAAUCAUCGAAUCUUUGAACGCACAUUGCGCCCGCCAGUAUUCUGGCGGGCAUGCCUGUCCGAGCGUCAUUUCAACCCUCGAACCCCUCCGGGGGGUCGGCGUUGGGGAUCGGCCCUCCCUUAGCGGGUGGCCGUCUCCGAAAUACAGUGGCGGUCUCGCCGCAGCCUCUCCUGCGCAGUAGUUUGCACACUCGCAUCGGGAGCGCGGCGCGUCCACAGCCGUUAAACACCCAACUUCUGAAAUGUUGACCUCGGAUCAGGUAGGAAUACCCGCUGAACUUAAGCAUAUCAAUAAGCCGGAGGAA
rnacentral:rRNA from 1 species